UCGAGAUGGGACUAAGCUAUGCUAGUCGCGCGCGUCCAACCAUGAGGACGAGCGGCAGACCGCUCAGUAACACGUAGCUAACCUACCCUCGGGUCGUGAACACCCCCGGGAAACUGGGGCCAAUUCGCGAUAGGUAUGAAGGCCUGGAAUGGUUUCAUGCCCAAAUGCACGGCGAUCAUGUUUGUCGUGUGCCCGAGAUGGGGCUGCGGCCGAUCAGCAGUUGGCGAGGUAACGGCUCACCAAACCUUUGACCGGUACGGGCCAUGAAAGUGGUACCCGGAAUGGGCACUGAACAGGGCCCAGCCCUACGGGGCGCAGCAGGCGCGAAAACUCCACAAUGUACGACAGUACGAUGGGGUUAUCUCGAGUGCAGUCCGAUAAGGGCUGCUUUUCCAUAGAGUAAUAUCCUGUGGGAAUAAGAGGGGGGCAAGACUGGUGUCAGCCGCCGCGGUAACACCAGCCCCUCGAGUGGUGGGGACUAUUAUUUGGUCUAAAGCGUCCGUAGCUGGCUGUGUCCGUCCUCCGUUAAAAUCCAGCGUCCUAAGCGUUGGACUGCGGAUGAUACCACACAGCUAGAGGGUGGGAUAGUGAGCGGUAUUUCUGGGGUAGGGCGAAAUCCUUUGAUCCCAGGAGGACCACCAGUGGCGAAGGC
rnacentral:rRNA from 1 species